rnacentral:rRNA from 1 species
GACGAACGCUGGCGGCGUGCUUAACACAUGCAAGUCGAACGGAAAGGCCCUGCUUUUGUGGGGUGCUCGAGUGGCGAACGGGUGAGUAACACGUGAGUAACCUGCCCUUGACUUUGGGAUAACUUCAGGAAACUGGGGCUAAUACCGGAUAGGAGCUCCUGCUGCAUGGUGGGGGUUGGAAAGUUUCGGCGGUUGGGGAUGGACUCGCGGCUUAUCAGCUUGUUGGUGGGGUAGUGGCUUACCAAGGCUUUGACGGGUAGCCGGCCUGAGAGGGUGACCGGCCACAUUGGGACUGAGAUACGGCCCAGACUCCUACGGGAGGCAGCAGUGGGGAAUAUUGCACAAUGGGCGGAAGCCUGAUGCAGCGACGCCGCGUGCGGGAUGACGGCCUUCGGGUUGUAAACCGCUUUCGCCUGUGACGAAGCGUGAGUGACGGUAAUGGGUAAAGAAGCACCGGCUAACUACG